GGGUGCGUCGUCUAGUUGGUUAGGAUACCUGCCUUACACGCAGGUGGUCGGCGGUUCGAGUCCGCCCGCACCCACCA
rnacentral:tRNA from 1 species